GAUGGGAGACAGAGCUGGUAAAUGGUGAGAUAAACCCUCCUUUAGCAGAAAACCUCAGUGACUAUUCAAGAAUCGCUGCACAAUGUCUCAAUUGAGAGAGCACCUGACUCAAAGGCAUCUAAGAUUCUUUCCAAAUCCAGUUUUCUUUCCCUGCUUCCUGAUGCGGUUGAGGAUGUGACCUCUCAGCUUCCUGCUUUGGACACCAUGUCUACCACACAUUGCCACACCUCUCCACCAUGGUGGAUUCGUCCUUCUGGAACCAUCAGCCAAAAGAAACGCUCUCUUCUGCAGGUUGCUCUUGGGCAGCUCCGAUGGCGUCUUUAGCCUAUUCGAAGACUCUGGGAGUAAAUACUGGGAGUAUAAAUACCAAAGACAAUAGCAAGAAAGGUCCAGGCCCAGCCAGCAGUGGAUGAGUGUCUGUACUCCCUCACAACAGGCCUUUCCUAGGCACUUGUGGCCAGACAAGAAACUAAAAGAUGCAGUCAAGACCAAGUCAUGUCUUACAAAGAAGUGGAAGAGUUGCCUUGCUUAUCUAACAUUACAGAACAUGGCACCACCACGUUCUGUGAACUUUGUGGUUCAGAUGAUCGGACAGUCAACUAUGGGAGGUGCCUUGGGUACAACGUGUAACUCCAGUUCCAGGGAAUCUGAUGCCCUCUCCUGACCACCGUGGGCACCAGGCA